AGGCAAACAAAUGGAAGCCAAAAAUGAAUCGGUGGUCGAAAAGAAAAUGGAACCAAAAUUUUGAAAAAUCACUCUUUCACUCAUAGUUGUCAACCUCACGAGCAAAGCAGCGACACCCGCGUUGGUGCAAAAUUAAAGAGAAUCCGUUGUUUGAAGUAGAAAAUGGAAGUCGGAUCUUUGCCGGAGUAGCGGCGGCGGGUCAACAUCGGAUAGACUAAUUGCACAAAAGGAUCGGAAUAGCUCCUCCAUUGAAAAGGGAGGGACCUGAAAAUUGGCAAAAGUUAGUUCAAAGACAGUGGAAAAAUAUCAGCUCAUACAUAAAAUCUGGGAAAGCUGGUAAAAAAGUAGUUUUAAUCUUACAUUGUUCUCCGACAUUAUACUCAAGAAGUUAGCUGAGUGGGAUUGCCACAUUGCUUCAUUUGUGUUACCGCUCACAUAUUGUUGGUAUAUAUACACACUAGAGCGUGUUGGAGGUCAAAGCUUGAUUCUCUUACCAAUCAAACAGCCUAGAAUACACGGUCUUUGCUAAGGCAUCACGACUCAAGGUAGCUAGAUCUGGGUCCAGAGGUUUUGUAAUAUUACCAUCAGGAGUCACUAUGACACGCUUGCAAAUUUGAAGAUGGUAGCGUGACUUCUCAUCCUUGAGUUUGGAAGAGUCAACAUCUUUCCCUUUGAUGAACUCAACAUUUCCAAGAUGAAGGAUUGCAGCUACUACACGAAAUAUUGCAUCCUGCAGAGGAGAAACCAGCCUCAGGGGAAUUGUGUGAAAUCACCUCCGGUGGUGCUGCACAAAGCAUGUAAAAGCAAUGAUAGUUUCUCUCCGGAUCUGAAACUUGGCAAACACGGGACCUUUCAAGGAGAUAAGUUCGAACUGCAGCUCCGGAGAUCUUACCAUGCUUAUCAAAUUGAAUCUCAACAAACUUACCAAAACGACUGAUGUAGCCGCCCGGUUUAUAAUCGUUAGUUGAAUUACUCUAUUUUUUUUGGGUAAAACAAAAAAAGAAGAGAGGCGAGACUGUCUAAAUUUUACCUUGAAUUGUUAUUUUUCACGGUUUUAGCAUUCCCGAAUGCUUCCAGAACUGGAUUUGACUGAAGAAGUGGAAAUAUAACUCUGUAUUGUAUCAGUUGAAUCAGAAUAGACAAUGUGAAUGGAUGUAAUAUUCUUAAUUUACCUCCAAAACUUGCUGUUCCACAGUUCUUCCUUCAAUGCCAGAUCUUCCCCCCAUGAAUGCAAGGUAUCUCAUGAGCAUCUUUGUGGUCUCUGUUUUACCAGCUCCACUCUCUCCACUUACCAAAAUGGACUGGCUUUCCUGUUCGUUCAUCAUCGCUCUGAAGUAUAGCUUUGUAUUAUAGCAUACGUCGGAUUUAUGAUAUAAUUCGACAUCACUGCAGUACGGUUCACAUACCUGUAACAAGUGUCUGCUACAGCAAAAAGAUGUGGACUUAGCUCUCCAAAAGCAGCUCCCUUAUACUGCUCCAUCAUGUGAACGUCAUACAGAUGUAGGAGUCUUUGGAAAGGAUUCACAGCUAUUAGAAUGUUGCCAGUGUACGCCAACUUGGUCAUGUCAUCCACUCCUGCUGGCGGUGCCUCUGUGUCUUUUGGAUAUAUGCUAGAUAUAUCUGCAACGAUCUGGAGUUGGAGACAGAAAGAGGCCAACGAUUUAGUUACAUUCUUUUUGUGUUGCAACCGAUUUUGCAUGCCAAAGUUACAGAGACUAUAGUGAAAUUCAACCUUACGCUUUCACGCAUGAAAGUAGAGUGCAAUUUGAAAUGUCAA